rnacentral:lncRNA from 1 species
AGAAUCUGCUCGGCGGUGAUUUGAACAGGAGCGGGGGUUUUGUUUUUAACCCUAGUUGCUCGUGGAAGCUUCACCUCUGUGUCCUUACGGGUAAGGUACCCUAGGGAAGGGUCUGCGUCUUUCCACGAAGACAUGGUUCUUAAUGAGAAUUGCACUGAUUGGGUACAAACAAUAACUUGUAAUGGCAACGAGGGUAGAAGAUAGAACCCUCACAACCCUUAUAAGAUUGGGGAAGAGGGAGAGAGGUCAAAAACUUUGUUUUAACUUUUAAGCUUUGCCCUAUCUCGAUUUCAUUUAUAUCUUUUAUUUAUUUUAGUAUUAAUUUAUAAUAUUGGAUUAAAUAAUAAUAAUAUUACAGAGGAAGGAAAACAUUGUGAAAAUUUGUUUUUAUUUGAUGAGAAAAGUUGUAACUAAAUAAAUGAGAUAAUUUAAGUGUAUAUAUAGUUAUAUAUUAUUUUUGUAAAAUUAAUUUAUAAAUUUUCCUACAUUAUUACAAUUGCACUAAUGAUAACCAACAAGAUGGUGGUGUAAUCGAAUAAGGUAGCACUGAAUCUCAAGUUCGAUGAUUUGAUUCAUAUGAAUAAUACUUAUUUUAAACGGCAACCGGCAACCACGAACCUAAAAUUAUUAUUUCCUUACUCCAAAAAAGUGCAAGACACCCUUAGUAAUUGUAACUAUUCACAAGCAUCUAUGUCAGUCUUAUUGAGUGACCUAACUAUGCAAUGAUAUAUUUGACUUACAAUAUGUAGUAUUUAUAAUCUUUUGUGCUAAAGUAAAAUUAAAAUGGUUGUUCUUAACGGAAUAAGAAUAUUAUUAUUCUGUUUUUUACCACUGUGAUAUUUUUUUUUUGGUUUUUUGUUAUUAAAUAAGAACAAUUAUUGUUGUUCUUAACUAAGGGAAAUUGAGGAGAGAGGCAGGUGUUGUGAGACCAAAUAAGAAUGAUAAUUAUUAUUGUGUGGAAAAUGUAGAUGUUGUUCUUAUUUCAUGGGGAGUUAUAAUAAAUUAUAAAAUAAUGUGUUACAUCCAAAUAAUAAUUGAGAUUUUGUUUCAUGUUGUUGUGUGGAUGCUCUAAGUUGAUUUUACAUAUUAAUAAUUGGCAUGACACUUGUAUUUUCUUGCAGAUUUACACCUACUAUAGAUCUGAGAUAUGCUUAUUGUUACCAAUUCAAGUGGAUGUAUAAACUUGUUACAAAUGGUUUAAUGGAACUUUUCCCUUGAAGAUGUCUCUUACAUUUUCCAAUUUCCUGCAGUUUUGUCAUUGCUACUCAGCUCAAUAUGAGAAAUAUCAAUAUUAUACAAUGUUUGAGCCUAUGUAAAUUGUAUUGCAUUGUAAGCUUGUAGAAAGAAUGAUUGUUUAUCAAUACACAGUUCUUACAGUAAUAAUACUGAUUUUGGACCUUGGUGCAGUAAAAGAUUUCCAUGGUCUUUUAAAUAAGUAAUAUUAUAUCAUUUUCAAAAUGAUAUAAAACACUUUAUACUGCAACAUUUAUUUGUUUCAAUUUUCCACAAGUGUAAAUUAAGGUUUUAUCAAUGCUUAAUUCUUGUGAUAGAAAUGAGCUUAAGAAAGUGUGAUACAUUAUUUAUUUCUCUUGCUAUUUAAUUUUAUUGUAGCAAGAGGUUAUAAAAAUUGCAACCUAACACAGUGCUCAAAGUUUAUGCAAAGAAUCCAAACAUACUUGAAUUUUUUUUUGUUUCCCACGGGUAUCCUUACACUAGAGGACUUGAACCUAAGACCUUGUUUAAGGGGAAUCAAACAUGUACCACUUGAACCAACACACAUUGGUGAACACACUUGAAUUUGAGAAAAGGUAACAAAGGAAGUAAAAUGAAGAAAAUAGGGGAGCGACCACACAUUUUGAUAGAACUUAUUCAUACAACAACCAAAACUCCGUUGCUAAAAUCUAUAGUCCUAAAACACAAGAAAUCUCUGAAAGAAUGAAUAUAAUAUUGAAGUUGUGUGAUCUAACAUUGCCAUAAAAGCUACAUAUUGUUUUGCCCUCUUACCUUGGUGCACAAGAAAAAGAUACCUGUGUAAUAUAAAAAUAUUAGCAGAAACAAUGGAGAAUAUUUGCAUGGUGUGAAAUGGUCUAGUAGUAACUGUGCUCAUAUCCUAGUAAGUAAUAAUUGCUAAGAAACAUGAGAAGGUGGUGGGUUUAAUCUGAGACAUGGCCACUUGUUCUUCUUCUUGGAGCAUAUGGGCUCAAAGGGCUCAACACUAAUGGUGAAAGGCUCUGUCUUUUGGUCUUAGAACUACUGUUAUAGUCAGAAAGGUGACCAUAUUUUCUUCCUCUUGUCAUAUAUGGGCUUAAAGGACUCAAUGCAAGUGGUGAUAAUCUACCUCUUGUUUUAUCCAAAUCUGAGAGAUGACUAUUUUUUCUGCUUGUGAAUGUGCUAUACAUGAACCCCUUUUGCACUUUCAUAUUAGGGGUAGUACUUACACGUCCCAAUCUUGCUGAGUUCAUAGAAGGGCUUGGUGUAAGUUGUGGAUUUUUCCUCUUUGAAGUUGUAACAUUAGAAUCUGGGAUAUUGUCAUGUUUGGACAAUGGUGACUGGUCCCUUUUCAGCUUUAAACUGGGCUUUGAAUCUAAUGUUUGAGCCUCAGAUGUUUGUUUUCUUCUAAUGGAACUGGAAGGAGUUAACACUGAUGGUUUGUUGAUCUUUGAAGAUUCUGAGACAUUGGAGGGUCUUCUUUUACCCGGGCUCAGAGGGCUGGAUGACACCGAGGAACUUGCCUUAUGCACCCUUAAUCCUCGGCCAGGUAAAGAUGGUGGCAAUGAUCUUGUUGCCUGCAAUUUUGGUAUUCCUGCAUCCAACAAUUUCAUGAUGUUUGUUUAGAUAUAAGAAAAGAAAAGUAUGUCAUAUAAAAAGCACUAACUCUAUGAUACAAAUUUGACACUGCUAAGAUACAACCAAAAGGCACAAUUGAUGCAUAUAAUAGAAGCACAUAUAAAAUAUGUUACCUUUGUCUUUUUUGGACUUGUCUAGUGCUGGUUUCUUUACUUUGACACUUUUCCUGGACGGGGCGUCAAAGCAAACAGAUUUUGUGUCUUCACAAUUCGGCUUUGGAAUGGUUAUCAGUGGGAAUGGAUCUUGGAGCAGCUUUUCUGCUAUGGAUGCAUUAUCAUCUCCACAAACUAUGUUUUGUUUAUCAUUUUCUUCCUUAGACAAUGUAGCCUCAUCCUUAGUUGGCUCAAUGUACUUGUUAUCUUUAGCAUUGCUGCUAUUACUUAUAAUCUUCCCUUUCUCCACAACUUUAUAAGCAAACAUUUCAUAUGGUAUUUGUGAUAUUGAUGACAAAAUAGAUGGCCUAUCAAUUGGGAAAUUCUUAAGGAACAUUGCUUCUAUGUCACAACAAUCCACAGGUGGGGACAGCGCCUCAAGUUGAUUAAGUUCAGGAUUGAUAACAUGGAAUUCUGUGUUCAUUGAAAGUAAUUUUUUUAUGUAUCGCAAAAUUCGGCAUAUAGAUGAGAAAGUCGGACGUUGAGAAGGGUCGGUUUGCCAACACUUUUUGAUCAAAUUCACAAGGUAUUUUGGUGAACGGUAUGGGAACAAAGGCCUUUCCCCUGCUUUGAUUUUUUGGUUUGUUCUAUCCCCUUGAAGAUGGUUAUCUUCGAAAGGUACUUUACCUGUUAAAAGCUCGAAGCAUAUCAUUCCAAAGCUAUAUGCAUCAGCUUUCUCUGAGUACUUGGAAUAUGUUGAAGCAUUUCUUGUUUGUUCUAGCUCAGUUAGAAUUUCCGGAGCAUACCAACUAGAAGGGUUAAACUCCUCAUUAUUUGGACUUCUGGUUGAUCUUUGAGUAGUGUCAUUGUUCUUGACACAAGUUAGGCCAAAACCUGCAACUUUUGCUUGAAAAUAACCUUCUUGGUAGUUUCUUGGUCUGAGUAGGAUAGUACUUAACCCUAGUUGCUCGUGGAAGCUUCACCUCUGUGUCCUUACGGGUAAGGUACCCUAGGGAAGGGUCUGCGUCUUUCCACGAAGACAUGGUUCUUAAUGAGAAUUGCACUGAUUGGGUACAAACAAUAACUUGUAAUGGCAACGAGGGUAGAAGAUAGAACCCUCACAACCCUUAUAAGAUUGGGGAAGAGGGAGAGAGGUCAAAAACUUUGUUUUAACUUUUAAGCUUUGC